rnacentral:rRNA from 1 species
GACGAACGCUGGCGGCGUGCUUAACACAUGCAAGUCGAACGGAAAGGCCUUUUCGGAGGUACUCGAGUGGCGAACGGGUGAGUAACACGUGGGUGAUCUGCCCUGCACUCUGGGAUAAGCCUGGGAAACUGGGUCUAAUACCGGAUAGGACCGCACUUUAGUGUGUGUGGUGGAAAGUUUUUUCGGUGUAGGAUGAGCCCGCGGCCUAUCAGCUUGUUGGUGGGGUAAUGGCCUACCAAGGCGGCGACGGGUAGCCGGACUGAGAGGUUGGUCGGCCACAUUGGGACUGAGAUACGGCCCAGACUCCUACGGGAGGCAGCAGUGGGGAAUAUUGCACAAUGGGCGCAAGCCUGAUGUAGCGACGCCGCGGGGGGGAUGACGGCCUUCGGGUUGCAAACUCCGUUCGCCAGGGACGAAGCGUUUUGUGACGGUACCUGGAGAAGAAGCACCGGCUAACUACGUG